UGGGGAAUCUUGCGCAAUGGCCGAAAGGCUGACGCAGCGACGCCGCGUGUGGGAGGAAGCUCUUCGGGGUGUAAACCACUGUCGGGAGGGACGAAGGUCCAGGGGAGGCAAUGCCCUUGGGAUGACGGUACCUCCAGAGGAAGCGCCGGCUAACUCCGUGCCAGCAGCCGCGGUAAUACGGAGGGCGCGAGCGUUGUUCGGAAUUAUUGGGCGUAAAGCGCACGUAGGCGGCUUGAAAAGUCUCUUGUGAAAGCCCGGGGGCUCAACCCCGGGAGGCCAGGGGAUACUGUCGAGCUGGAGACAGGCAGAGGCUGGUGGAAUUCCGGGUGUAGCGGUGGAAUGCGUAGAGAUCCGGAGGAACACCGGAGGCGAAGGCGGCCAGCUGGGCCUGAUCUGACGCUGAGGUGCGAAGGCGUGGGGAGCGAACAGGAUUAGAUACCCUGGUAGUCCACGCGGUAAACGAUGGGCACUAGAUGCCGGUGGGAACGACCCCAU
rnacentral:rRNA from 1 species